AAUAACCAGUUCUUUUCUUCUUCAUUCAUCAGCAGUUGAAGACAGUCUUCAGAGAAGCCUGACAAGUCUUAAGACCAUGAUUGCAGGACCUGCUUCAGUGAGGUGGAAGCACAAUACAGCAAUGCCAAGCACGAUCAAAUGCCAGCAAAAAAGCACAUCUUGGAGACACUGAGGUGCAGCCGCAGUCAUAGCAGUUGAAGACAGGCUUCAGAGAACUGUGGCUCAGCAUGCCUUGGACUCGGUCCGUCCUACUGCAAUGACAAGUCUCAAGACUAAGAUUGCUUCAGUGAGGACAUUACAGCAAUUCCAAGCACAAUACAGUCAAGUACCAGCAAAACAAACAUCCUGGAGACACUGAGACACAGUCAUUAUACCUACUGCAGUUGAAGACAGUCUUCAGAGAACUGUGGCUCAGCGUGCUUUUGAAGCACAAGACAGCACUACAUCCGCACAUCAAAAUCAAAGGAUUCAGAGAGCUGGGAUUUCUGUACAAUGCAGCAGC